AUACGGAGGGUGCAAGCGUUGUUCGGAAUUAUUGGGCGUAAAGCGCGUGUAGGCGGUUGGUUAAGUCUGAUGUGAAAGCCCUGGGCUCAACCCGGGAAGUGCAUUGGAAACUGGUCAACUUGAGUACGGGAGAGGGUAGUGGAAUUUCGAGUGUAGGGGUGAAAUCCGUAGAUAUUCGAAGGAACACCGGUGGCGAAGGCGGCUACCUGGACCGAUACUGACGCUGAGACGCGAAAGCGUGGGGAGCAAACAGGAUUAGAUACCCUGGUAGUCCACGCCGUAAACGAUGGGUACUAGGUGUUGCGGGUAUUGACCCCUGCAGUGCCGAAGCUAACGCAUUAAGUACCCCGCCUGGGGAGUACGGUCGCAAGACUAAA
rnacentral:rRNA from 1 species